AUAGCUUUAUCAAGAAUUCAAGGUUCUUCAAAUAAUUUAACCUUUGCGGUUUAAUUUCCGUCAAAAUUUUAAAUAUUUGGUGCAUUGCAGUUUGUUAUUAAAGAUUGUGAUAAUGUCGUAAUUACAAAAUUUUCCAACAAGAGGAUUGUUUACCGCCGUACCUUCUUAACGAUACAUUGACACAACAUCAUUAGCAUUGUUGACAAAUCGUUAGUCUUUAACAAUUUCGAAAAAUGAAUUUCUUGCAAGUGAUAAUUAUUUCCGUUUAGGAAACAGCGGUUUUACGAGAUUAACGCUCUAUAAUUUGCACUUAAUUCAAUUAUUACAUUAAUUCAGGAACACGAACCGCAUUGAUUUUAUGUUCCUGUUUCAACCAGAUAAGAAGUUUUUAAAUAAUUAGUCCCUGAAAAGUCGUUAAUAUUCUUUGCAAUUUUAUUGAGUUCACUAUGAUGAAAUUUCUCUUUUUGUUGUUUUUCCUCACAGUGGUGAUGACUCUGCCUGUGGCUUAUGUGCCUCGAUUUUCUGCUUGUCCUCCUGGACAAGUUCUGGUUUAUCCUGGAGUGUGCAGAGAGGUGGAUUAUUUUUACGAUGAUUACGAAGAUUAAGAUCUGGUUCUUUUCUCCACUUUUUUGAAAUGAUUAAAUUAGUGCAGAGUUUUGUAAUUACUAUUUUGUACUCAAAUUCAAAUAAAAGUGUGUCUUUGUAAUGUC